rnacentral:lncRNA from 1 species
GCACACUCAUUUAAAUUUUUUUGCUAUAAUAUACAAUCAGUUUUAUUACUUUUCCCCAUUAAAAUGUACUGAUGUCUAGUGGCAGAUUUUUGCAUAGGCUAAAUAGGCUAGUAGUAGUAAUAAAAGAGGGAGAAGCCUACCCAGCCCAAGCACCGUGGCCAGCAAUGGUCUAUUGUGCACCCCAACCAAAUCAUCCCAGAAGAAGACCUGUCCUUAGGACAAAAGACAGAAUUCUCCUUAAUAGGACAGUAGCGAGAUCCUCCGGAACAAGAAAAUACAACCCCAAAAGAUCACGUCUGAGCCACGAAAGAGCCACACAUUCACACAAAAUGUGAAGAGGAAUUUCCUCCUCAAAUAAUAGUAGUAAG